rnacentral:rRNA from 1 species
CCAAACUAUGGCCUCUGCCCACUUUGUAAGCAAUGUCAGGAGUCGGCAGCCCACCUUCUCUUCCAAUGCCGCUUCACCAUCCGCAUUUGGAACCAUAUUCUUAUGUGGCUUGGCAUGCACCACAUUUCUACGGCGAUAUGGCAGACGAGGACUUCGGUGAAAGACUGGUGGAACGGCAACCUUCAGAUUCGCCUUGGCUCCCCUAAGGCGCUAGCCUCCUUGAUGAUGCUUAUCUCAUGGGAGAUAUGGACAGAGCGUAACGCUAGGGUCUUUCGAAACAUGGCCAUCCCUUCCAUGGUCCUAAUCUGUAAGAUCAAAGAAGAGGUGUCUCUUUGGGCAGUGGCGGGUGCAAAGCACAUGAGUGUUGUAAUACCGCGAGAGUAG